UAAAAUCACUGACGCGGGUCACAAAGAGACAUCAAGGUGCACAUGGUGUGUGUUCCGUCCAUCCCAAAACUACAGGCGCUCUUCGCCUCUCAUCAAAUAAAGCCACAAGCACGCUCUCAAAUAUCCGUCCGCCCCUUCCACA